CAUAAAUAGCCCUGAUAUUAUUCACCUAGGAUUUUAAUAUUAGAUUUAAAAAUGCACAUUAGCCUGUAAGUUUUCAACCCUGCUCCCAAGCAAUAAGCAAUUAAUUUCCUUGCAUACUGGGUAUAAAAAUGCCAUAAACUGAAUAGAUUAUAGAUGAAAAAAAUAUUCCUCACAGUUUUAGAAGCUAGAAGUCCUAAAUCAUGGUGCUAGCAAUAUUGGGUGAGGACCCUCUUCUUCUUAGCAGACCUUUUGGUGGAAUGGACAAGGAAUGGACAUGGAAGUUCUCUAGGGCUUCUUUUUAAGGGUAUUAAUCUCAUUCAUGAGAGUUCCACCUUCAUGACCUAAUUACUUUGCAAAUAUCCCAUCUCCUAAUACCAUCACAUUGAGCGCUAGGAUUUCAACAUAUGAACUUGAGGGGGACACAAACAUUUAAACCAUAGCACUGAGCAAGUGUCCUAUGGCAUUUUACUUUUGGUAAAGAUAUUUUUCAUGUUAUCCUAGGUAGAAUAGUUUCUUGUGACUGCUGUAAUAAAUUACCAUAAACUUGGUGGCUUAAAACAGUACACACUAAUUCUCUUUCAGUUCUGGAGAUCAGAGAUCCAAAAUCAGUUUUAUUCGACCAAAAUUCAGGUGUCAGUUGGGCUGUCCUUCUAGAGGCUCUAGGGGAGAAUUAGUUUCCUUUUGUUUUCCAGUUUCUAGAACAACAUUUUUUGCAUUCCUUAGUCCCUCCAUUCAUCUUCAAAACCAGCAGCAUAGCAUCUUGCAUGAGCAAUCCAUUGAUUUCUAUCUCUGUAUUUAGAUCACUCUGCCUCUUUCACAAAAGGAGAUUUGUGAUUUAAUGCACAGAUUUACUGGGAUAAUCCAGGAUAAUCUCACCAUCUCACAAUCCUUAACUUCUUUAUAUUUAGAAUUUCUUUUGCCAUAUAAAGUGGCAGUUACAAGUUCUAGAGAUUAGGACCUGGCUCUCUUUGGGGGCCAUUUUUCAGUUUACCACACUAGAUAAUUAAGACAUUAUUCUAAUCUGAAGUACCCAUCUUCUCAAAUAAUCCAGUCCCUUUGGUCUACCAGGGUUGUUUCAAACAUUUUUCUCUUCCUCAAGUACAUUAGCUGCCAAACUUACAAAUUAUUACAGAUUUAAUCAUUGUAGAUCUGUAAUAUAUAGCCUAUUGAGCUGCAACAAACAGAAACCCCUUUAGCUUUUUAUCAGUGUUUGAUGUACUACAUGGUCAAAGGAAGAAUGUUUCAGUGACUUCUCUAAAACCCCACUGAAUAUUCACAAUGUCGUUCAUUAAAUUGUUGAGUGUUCCUUAUGGAAAAAUUCAUGAUUUUUUAAAAAAUUGUGUCCCUUAGAUCUAUACCUUAGAUUUGUCUAUUCUGACUGGAUAUAUAUUACUCAUUCCUGAUUUUUAAAACUUUGUCUUGGCUUCCAAGGAAGUACAGGCUAUAUUUAGUAGAUAAUUAACUAUUGUUAAAAUUAAAUAAAUACUAGUUAUUCAUAGUUAGUAUUUAUUUUAUAAUUAUAUGUUCUUCACUCUACUCCCCUCAUAACUAUUUCUUCUAUUCCUUACUAUAAUGCUUUUGAUAAUUUAUCUUCAUGUUAACAAGCCUAUUGCAUGGGCCUUCUAUUAUAAUCUACUGCAAAAUCCUUUUGAAGGCAACAGACAAAAAUAAAGCAAACAAAUAAAUAAAUUCAGUAGAUAUAUAGACCCUAUGAAUUAUGGCCCAUCUGCAUCUGUUUUGAGUGCCAUAAACAUAAAUUCAGUUAUGAAAAUAUUUUAUUACUAAAAAAGCAUUUUAAAAUUGUGUUUCUUUGUGUUAUAUAGAUUAUUAGAAUGGAAGAUAGAUUAACUAUCAAUGCUAUGCUAAUUAAUACCAGUAUAGUAGUUUUUCAUUUCAUUCAGUAGCUUCCAAUUUUAUCAAUGAUACUAAGAAAAUUUUAGGAGUUCCCAUCGUGGCACAGGAGAAAGGAAUCCAACUAGGGACCAUGGGGUUGUGGGUUUGAUCCCUGGCCUCGCUCAGUGGCUUGGGGAUCCGGCGUUUCUGUGGGCUGUGGUAUGGGUCGCAGACGUGGCUCUAUCUGGUGUUGUGACAGUGGCCUGGGCUGGAGGCUACAGCUACAAUUGAACCCUGAGCCUGGGAACCUCUGUGUGCCCUGGGUGCGGCCCUAAAAAAGAUAAAAGACAAAAAAAAAUUUUUAAUGGGGAAUAUGUAUAAGCUGGGUUUUUUUAAUACUUUCUGUAGUAAAGAGACAUAAACAGAGUUUUGAAAUCUUAAGUAUAUUUCCUGAAAAUUUUCCAUGGAAUAAGUGCUUUAUUUCAGAAAUAUUUUAUACAAGCUCCCCCCCAUUCAGUUUAUUAGUACUUAACAUAUGAUAUAAGUGAUACAUAAAUGGGUUAAAUAAUUUGUGUGUGUCAGAGGACAAGUAUAUUGGCUAUUGUGGAAGCUUUGAAACCCUGUCCUAGUAGAGGAAAAUAAGAAAAAUUUAUAUAAAUAUAAGGGUCAGAAAUCAUUGGUGUGCUUUCACAUUUACUCUCUUAAUUUGGUUUCUGAUGGUUACUCAUCAUGUUAGGAUUUCUCAUUACAUUUAUAGAGUUAUAUCCACGACAAACUUAAAUUAUGACUAACUUAAAACAUGGCAUAUAAUAAACUUUAAUUCAAAUAUAGCAAAAUAAAUAUGUCUGAAUGGGAUUUAAGGUUUGCUUAGAAAAACUUGAUUUAUAAAAAGCAAUUUGACUCAAAGAACUGAGCAUUAAAUUGUGACUCAGAGACUCGAGUUCAAAUUUCAUGUUCACUGACUCGUCUGUCCCUUUGAGAUAUAAUAUUUGUUAAAGUAUUUUUAUCAUCAUACAUGAUUAAACAGACCUAGUUCUUUCUGUGAUUUUAAGGUUAUAGUUGGCUAAAAAAAACCCUGAUUCCCAAUGUUUUUGAUGAAUAAUAUUUUGGAAAAUGUAAAAAUGAAAUAUUUCAGUCAGAAAUGGUACAGGGUAAUAUAAUGCAUUACCUUUAAAACAUUUUUACCCAAAAUUUAGAGUAAGAAAAUCUAUUUUAUUUCACAUCUGCAUAACAUACAUAAAUACAUGAAUAACUGAAGUAAACUAUCCAUGAAACACUGCUUAGAAGUACUGCAGCUUACAGUGAUAUUUCCUAUUUUGUUUUAUUUUAUUCUAUCCUUUUUAAAAAUACAAGCCACAAUCUUUUAAAAUGAUUUCACACCCACAAUUUGGGCAUCAUUCCACAAUUUGAAAAACACUGAUAUACUAUUUACAUGUAUGUGUCCACCAAUCAUUCAGCUUUUAUAAGAUCUUAAUAUUUUGCCAUAUUUUCUUUAAAUAAAAAGAAAACGAAACAGAUAAAUUACAAGUUCUCCAUGUUCUUUUCCCUUUUCUUCCUUUCAUCCCAGAAGUAACUUAUUUUAAAUAUGAUAUUUGUUUUCAUGCCCAUUUAACAAUUUUCACUUCCUGUAGAUGUAGCCAUAAGAAUACAUAGCAUAAUUUUGCAUAUUUUAAAGUUUAUAUAAAGGUAUUAUACUCUCCUAUCUUCUGAAUUUUUUUUGAUUUAUCAUUAUGUCUUUUUUAAAAUUGAAAUAUAGUUGAAUUACAAUAUUAGUUUCACAGGUGCAACAUAGUGAUUCAUUAUUUUUGAAGAUAAUACUGUACUAUAGUUUAUUAUUAAAUAAUGGCUCUAAUUCCCCAUGUUAUACAAUAUAUUCUUAUUACUUAUCUAUUUUAUACGUAGUAGUUUGUAUCUGUUAAUCCCAUAUCCCUGCUUUGUCCCUCCUCCCUUCUCUCUUCUGGUAACCAAAUGUUUGUUUUCUAUAUCUGUGAGUAUGUUUCUUCUAAUGAAUAAGUACUACUCAUUUUUGUUAAUCAAUUUACUGUGGUUCAUAAUUUAGAUUUUAUUACUGUUUUGGCUAUAAUGAAUAAUACUAUAAUGAACAUUCAUGUCCCUGCAUUUUUCUGCUAAAGAAUAUGUGUUUCCCUAUGGUCUAUAACUAAAGUAGAGGCAGGAGGCAAUAAGAAUUGCACAUGGUUGAAUUAUAUAUUUUCAAAUUAUCCUCAAAAAUAGUUGUUCUGAUUUAUCUAUGCAAUAGUACUGUAUAAGAAUUUUUCUUUCUCCAUAUUCUUGCCAGUUCUCAGCAUGAUAAAAAAUAAUGUUAUUGAAACUCAAUCUAAUUUUAAUUUGUAUUUAUUGAUUAGUAGUGAGAUUGAAAGUUUUCAUGGUUUUUUUUGUUGUUGUUGUUGAAUUCCCUCUUCUAUAUAUUUUCUCUGUUUUCUUAGUGGAAUAUAUUUUUAUGUAUAUGUGCUAUGAGUAUUUUCUCUUAUUUUUCUAUCUUUUACAGUGAGGCCAAGACUAUACUAUCAAUAUGUUAGUUUAAAAAUAAUUAUCCAAAUGAACAAAAGAAAGGUCUCAGACUUGCUGUUCAAGCUUAUAAUCAAAGUGUAGUAGUUUUUCUGGAUUGUUUUGGUUUUGAUACUUGGUUCCUCUUCAAGAACAGCAUUUAAAGUCAGCUUUGAGGCCUAAGUUGACCUGACUCAAGGUCAUAAUAAUAGCUUUCCACGUGGGGUGAUAUAUGGCACAAGCCUAAAUGUGCUCUUGUAUUUCUCAUAUUUCAAAAAUGCAACAGAUGGAGUUCUUGUUGUGGCUCAGUGGUUUAAAGACCCGAUGUUCACUUCUUGAGGAUGUGGGUUUGAUCCCUGGCCUUAUUCAG
rnacentral:lncRNA from 1 species